UUUUGAAUGCCUAUGGAUAUCUACUCAUCUGUUGAGACAGGCUACAUGCUACGACAUUAGGUGACGUAACAGAAUUGUUGUGUUGUCACAGUAAUAAAUCUACGAAAAGCAGAAUAAAGAACACAACAAUUUAAUGUGGUUCGGAUACAAACGUACCCUACAUCCACGAGGACUUGCAAAACUAGUUCAGAUUUAAGUGUACAUUAAUAGGACUUAAUAAAAUACUAAAGACUCCCUCUUUAUGUGAUACGCCGUUCUUGCACACGACUCGAACUUGUUGAUAAUCAAAGCAAUUCCUCCUCCGCAUUCUUGGACUUCCUCCAAUGUUGAACUUCCUUCAAACGGCGGAUCGACCUCUCCCGAGAUCUUUUAAGCACUUCUCCCGAAACUCCAAUGUUGAACUUCCUUCAAACGGCGGAUCGACCUCUCCCGAGAUCUUUUAAGCACUUCUCCCGAAACGCCGAUCUUCUUUAUGGCCUGGUAGAAGAAACCUGUUCUGUUGCCACACCUGUCGUGCAGACAGGGCUGCAGCACGGGCUGCACCCUUCAAAGCCUUUAUGCUGAGAUUUUUCUUUGUAAAGCUCCAUCGGACUCAUAUGAGGUUGAGGGCCUUAUAUAGGCACGAAAUCUCCACCCUAAACCUAACUUGGGCCCUAAGAAAUCGAUUUAACUAGGUAAUAGAAUCCUAGUCGAUUUCUACUUCUAUUCUAGAUAAGUACAAAAAUACCUAACUAGAAUACAAUAAAUGGAAAUAAAUCUAAGUCGUCCUAAUAACAAUAUUACAAAAAUAGGACUCUAAUUAAUUCCAAAAUAAACAUGGAAAACAAAUCUUUGCCAAUCUUUAAUUUCCACGUAUGGCGGAUUUCUUCAAUCUUCACUAACGGAAAUUUGGUGCCAACAGUAUGGUUUAAGCAUAAACAAGAAAAGAAAUGAUACUAACUAAAUGGGUUCCUUCUCCAACCUUGUUACGGAACAUAGCCUUCAUAUAUAUAUAUAUAUAUUAAUUACUCUUUAAGAGUAGAAAUAAUAUUAAUAUAACACACAGUAAUUUAGUAAUUACACGACUUAAGGCCGGCCAAUCAAGAAAAUGAAACAAACUAACAAAGCAAACGGAUUGAACAUUCUAGUAAUUAAUAAUAAUUAUAUAUAUUUACAAAAAUAGAUAGAAAAUUAAAACUCUACUUGGUGGGCCCCCAGCAAAUGAGGUGCAUAAUUUUCUCAGCCUUCUCCGCUUCCCUCAUUCUUCUCAUCUCAUAUUCCUCAUAACCACUAGUGUUAGCUUUCCUCACCUCCUUCACGGCGGCGCCACCACCAUAUGCCCAUCUUAUACGGCUACUAUUGCCGGAAUCCGAAGCCGCCGCCCUCGGCUGAGAAAUCUUGCUGCCGGCAGUACUCAUCGCCAUUUUCUCUCUCUAGCUACCUCUUAAUUCAAUGAAAUAUUAUGAGUGAUUUGUGAUAAUAAUUUGAGUGUAUAAAUAAAUAGAUUUGAGUACUCUAGAUCUCCUCCACGUGUCUUGGAGUAGUAGAUAUUAAUUUGUGGUUGUGUAUGAAUUAACAAGGGGCGGUGGCCCCCGGUUUUAAGGCUACCACAACCUCCAGGCUGGAUUCUUGAAUAUUUUCUGCAUGCCUCCGUUACCACAUAUCUUAAUGAAUUGCGUCUGGAUUUUUC
rnacentral:lncRNA from 1 species